CAGAUGCCUCUUGAACACUGCCAGGGAUAUCACUGCCAUGUUACAUCACUGAAAUUGACUUGUAUGAUGAAGGAAGAGAGGGAGUGUGCAAAUUACUAGUAGAUGGUGAAGGACAGAGAAGAGGAGGCUGAUGUGCAGCUCAUUCAGCUUCCGUGAGUCCCCUGGUUGUGAAGCCAAGGGCUGUGCUGCUUGUCAAGCUGAGGCACAGAAACCUACACCUUAAAUCUCCCUGUAGCCAACAGAGUUCCAGGGAGGUGGUGACAGUCAUGCGCAUGACAGACUUUUCCAGUCCCCCUUGUGUAAGCAGAGAAAUACCAUGUUAUUAUCUCUAGGCCUGCACUGGAAAUACAGCAACAGCCCUUUCCCGGGAUGCAGUGGGAGGUGUGGGGGCUGCCUCCUGCUCCUUUUUAGCAAGAGAACAUCUCUACAGCUCCCCGUACCACCUUCUGCAAAAUGACAACCAGCAUAUGACUUGGGUUUGAAAUCCUUGCAGCUGAUGGAAAAACAAUUAAGAUCUCAUUAAAAUUCUAUGUAGGGAGCCAAGAAAAGGAAGAUAAUGUCAGAGGAAAGGUGAUACGUAGGACAGUACGGAGAAUUCUCUUAAGUUAAGCCUGUCAUUAGACAGGAACACAGAAGGUGAUAAUUGUACAGUGCAUUUCAUUCAACCCACUAAGAAUAAUUAACACUUUCCCUUCUGUCUCUCCUUUCAUUGAAAUGAAUGGAUUCAGUACAUAUGCUCUCAUCUUAAGGCAGGAGAUGUCAUAGUCUGACUUUGUAUGUGCAGUGGAAUUUUACUGCUGGGUUUCUUCACCUAUUUAGUCAUGUGAGACACUGCUGAUUUCACUAACCUCUUUGUGGCUGUUGCUCUUACAGAAAUUAUUGACUCAAGAUGGAGAAGAAUUAGAACAAGAAUGCACUUGCUUCCAGCAUCUCCUGUGAUCACACAUGUGACUGCAUUGUGCCCAGCUCCUACUACUGUGCUCAGCCAUUCCGCAGGCUCCAUCAUCUCCUUCAUAUCCCAUUGGAAGGGACUGGGGGAGGAAAGGCCAUGUGAGAGGUGUCAGAUCAGAUUCCAGUCCCUAUGGAAAUGGUGUUGUCAAUUAAGUUAGGCAACAGGAAUAUUUUGCUGUGGAGGAGACACUUCUGAUUUGCAGAAUGCCAUGAGCAGGGAUGACCACUGCUCAGAGAGGCCUCAAGUGUUCUAUGAUGUUUCGAAUCCCAUGAAACCAUACCAGAGGGGAUAAAUUUUUGGUAAGUGUGAACUUGCUAGUGUAAUUCCAUCCUGUCCAUGCUGCUGGACUGAACAUGAAGGUCACAAAUAUUCUAUAACAACUGCCAAUGUCUGGUUGUUUCGUUAUCAGGAUUUCAACAUCACUUCAUUUUUACAGGACUAGUGCAUUUUAUGGAAUAGGAUACAUUUUUAAUGUAAUAUUUGCAAUAUAUUUUAGUAUUACAAUAUUGCCUGAGAAUGGCGGCCAAAAUAAAAGUACUAUAUGGAAAAGUGCCAGCCAAUGCACUUUGAACAAAAGCUGUUCAUAUUGGCACAAGGCAGCAUGUAGUUGGGCUGUUUUACAUAUAGAUCACAUUAAGGCAGUCUACAGAAUUUGAGAUGUUUAAAAUCCUGAUAUAAAAAUUAAGGGAGAAAAUUAUGUUAUUGAAACACUAAGACACUGGUUUAAUAUCUUUAGAAAUUCUUUCCGAAGAAGUAAAUUCUUUAUUUAUGGCAUUUCUGUAAGACUUCCUGUUUAUUUAUAUGUCCCCUUUGAGUGGGUAGAGGUUUUUAGGUUUUGGUGUGAGGGGUUUUGAAAGAAGCUGUUUCACAUCAUGCAUAACAGCAUGGUUGGAAGGACAAUUACUGCAAGUUCUUCAAUUUUUGGGUGCCAAAAUCCACAAAGGCAGUAGAAACCAUUAUUGCUCCCCAUGUGCUUUGUCACUUGAGAGUUGGGCUGUUUUUUGAUUCUGAUUUUUCCAGCCUAUCAGCAUUAAACCAUCAUUCCUUAGGCACAUACAUGGAAUUCCGAUCUCAAAUUGUGUGCUUGCAUGUAAUUUUUUCUUACUAUGAACAACUUGGUGAAAUACUACUAGAUUGUUGAAUAAUUGUAUGCAAUUGUGGGACCAAUUAAUUGGGUGACUUUAAAUCCUUUGAGUGAUGAAUAUUGAGAUAUGGUACAAUAUCUUCCUCCUAUGAGAGUGCUCAGCAGUUCGUAAGUCAGAAAUUGUUGGGAAUAUAACAAAGCAUCUGAGAAAAUCAGAUUUUCAUAUUAAAAAAAAAAAAGAAACACACACAAAUUCACUCCUCAAAAAGACUUUUUAAAAAGAACAUCAGUGUCAGUUGAACAUUACUGGUCAUGUGUGCAGCUGGAUAAAGUCAAUUCUUCUCAACUGUGGUACGCAGAUCAUGAGGGAACUGGUAGUACCAAAAGAAAACGAUUUCAUUUUCUUUAACUGAGCUUUCUCAAAGCAAUGUGAGUUAACAGAUUGUGAGGUGACUGCAUGUGGAAAAGGAAAAGGAAAAUGAAAGCAGAUUAAUGGGUUAACUUCAUAUGCCCAAGUUUCAGGCCAACGCCUUUUGCAAGCAAAUAAUAUGCAAAGGGCUCAUCUGAAGCGAUUUCUUCUUUGCCCUCAAAGGAGAAAGUGAUAGAAGAGAAGGGGAGGAAGGAAAGAAAGAAAGAAAAACAGAAGAAAAUGAUCAUUUCUGUACUAUUCACAGUUAUGCUUACUGUCAAAUCUAGCAUUGUAGUGGUGAUGUGAGUUCGUUACAAAUAGAGGCAAAGAAUGCAGAAAAUAAUGAGUUUUGACCCUAAAGGUUGAAAUACUCACAGGUUUAGUGUUUUGAGCAAGGCAAUGAUCCAAAGCCUAUAAAACCAGAAGAAAAACAGCAUUUGGCUGCAGUGGGCAUUGCAUCAGGCUUUCAUAUGACUAAUCAUCAGCAGACUUCAUUAAGCCAAGGAGGAAUAAGAUGCUCUGUGUGUUUGCAACUUUUCCUUCUGUUGAGCAGACAUUCCCACCACUGAAUGCAGUGGAGAUGUCCUCACACAACUGGUGGAAAGGGAUCUAUCUGUGCUUUGCAACUGCUGCUUCUCGCUAAGCCAUCACAAGAGAGAGAAUUAGUAGAGACUCCAUUGUCGCAUACCCCAAGUCUGAACUCCGGUUUAUAUUUAAACAAGCACAGGAAAGAGCUGAGAGACUCUAAGACCCCAGUGAACUGCGGAUCACUUGUUCUAAAUCGGAAGGCAAAUGUCUAAAGAUCAGAUUACAAGUGUCUACCAGCAUGUUUUCACUGUGUGGUGGGUCAGCUGGAGUUCAGGCUCUGCAAAUACCAAGGAGGUGGUUCCAGAGCAGUAAGCACUUGAGCAAUGCAUAGCACCGGUGGUCUGAACUUGGGAAGGAUUUCAUAACAUAUCUGUAAGCCAAAGCUUCUUCAACUGUUAAUUUAAUAAAGAAGAGUGAACACGAGUAAGUCUCUAAAAGAUAAACUAAAUCAGACUAAUUUGUUAUGUAAUCCCUUUUUAAUGUGGAGAAUUAAGGUAACGGCAAGAUGGCUGUGUUUAAUACUUUGAAUAAUUACUGGCAGUUAUUGACAUUGAAGAUGGGACUGAGCAAGUUAAUUUCUACUUGUUGUUUUCAACACGUGCCAAACUCUUAUUUCACACCAGCAAGGAAAGGCUAGAAGUUGUGUAUUCCAUAUGCAUGAAGUAACAGUUGGCACAAAUCACUGAGGGGAGAAAAAUAAGAACCACUAAAGCCCAGCAACCCAAACUGUCACUCGCUGACAAAUUUUUGACUCUCACUGCUGAAGAAAAAAUAACAUAAAGGCUUCAUGUAGAAUAUUCCACCUACGUAAACCCAGGUUUCUGAUCUUCUUUGAGGUAACUGUUUUGCUGAGGAAGCAACGACAGCUUCAGGUGUCCAACCUCCUCUUUUCCUGUCUUGGGAAAGACCAUCACACCCAGUCCCAGAGUGGGACGGGAAUGAAGCAGCAGAGGCUAAUGAGCAUGCCUUUCAUCAACUGAAGGCAUGAAAUAACUAUUUUCCAUUGCUAGGAAUGGAGAUGUUGGGUUAACAUCAGCUUUGCAGGUAAUGUCUCCCUGCUUGGGACAAUUCUACUAGGUAGAUAAAGGGAGUUUACAUCCUCUCUUCACUGGCGCUGCUGGAUUUGCUGUCAAACAGCUGGAGACAGCACAACCUUCCUCUGACUCCACAAAUUGUGUCAUCAUUUAGACAUUUGGGGUAUAGCUGCCAAAGCAUUGAGAGUACUACUGGGCCCUGAUGUUGCUGUCCUCUCCCCAGGGCACCCCAACCGGUCUGGGCCCCACCUCAGCCCCAGGGCCAUCAGCUUCUGACCCAGUGAGGCCACAGCAGGGCUGAGGUCCAGCUCCCCACAUCCCUGCCCAGCCAUAGGCCUGACUGAGUUGGGCUUACCCAUACUCCCAUGGCCCAUUCCCAUGGUCCAUGGCCUCUGUGAUGCCCUGUCAAUUUGCAUGGGUUACAUGAGUUUUCUUAGUUGUCUUCUGUACAAGAAGACAUCCUGUACUCACAGAACUAGAUGAUGGUCUAAGUUUUCCCAGCCACUUUUGGAAGGAAAUAUGCAAAUAAACAAACAUUUAGUGAAAGUCAAAAUAUGUAUGAUAUAUGUGAUAUAAAAGCAUUAUAUACUGUUCCUUCUUGGUUUCCUGUACCUUCACUGUCCUGUGAUACCUCCCUUUCUCCUUUCUCUCUCUAACUUGACAUCUACUGGGGAUGAAAUUGUGCAGCCUGGAAAGUAAGUAAUGACACUUGCAAAUACAUAUCAAGAGUUAAUUUCAGCAAGUUUCAUAUAAUUUUUUUCCUAUUUUGUUGAUUACUUAGAAUAGUACCUGUAAGCCAAAGCUUGCUUGUUUGAGUCACUCUCUCGUUUUAUUUUUAAAGUAACUGAUUUUGCAUUUUGACACGUUUCUUGUUUUCAGACUGUGUUGAUUUUCUGUGUGGUUCACUCUAGACUUCCUACAACAGACAGCUUAUUAUCUCGCCUUGUGAAAAUCAUACUUGACUUCUGGGAGACGUCUAUCAAAAGGAAAGAAUAGACUGAGAAGCUGGUACUUUCGAUCUAAUUAUCUAGGUUGGUGGUUGUUCGGUGAACCUAUUAACUGCCUGAAGUGAUUUGCAUCUUCAUGGGUACACAUAAUCAUUCUCUGCACUAUUUAAAUGGGAAAUGCUACAGCUGUUAUGUGUCCCAGUUUAUUUUCUCUUCAGUUGGUUCCCAAAUGCAUCUGGCUUCGCUCAUGAUGAACAGUAGAGCCCAUCUUGCACCUUCUGAACUAAUGACUGCAGAUGUAUGUUCCCACCUCCCCUUAUCUCUUAUCCUUGACUAACCACCUCAGUUCAAGGUUUAUGCCUUUCAGUGAAGCACUUAAGCACACUCUUAGCUUUAAGUACAUCAUUUCAUUGAGUAGGGAUGGAUUUAAUUACAUACUUGUAGUCUGUGGCUUGUCAGCACUUCAAGUUUCCUAACCAAUUUCCAAAUAAGUUAAAAGUUAGCAACCAGCCCUGACAGUUCUGCACCUUGGUGAAUGGUGAGCUUUCUGGUAGUGACAGACAACACUGUUCAAGCCUUUCAUGAUGCUCCAGAGUAGAGAUGCAUAGAGUUUUGGGCCCAACUGCUCUCUGAGAAUGAAAGAAAGGUGCUUUCUAAAAACCUACUUGUGACCUAGAAAAAAAGGGACAGGGAAAUAUUUCUCAACUUUCUCUGGUGGUGGCAGCAUACUCUGCUGGGGCAAGAUACCAUCAGCACAGCAAGAAGCCAAGCCUUUGUGUCCUGGCUGUAAAAUCUAGCUUCUACAGCUCAGAUGUAGAGGAGUCUGUGCCCUAUCCCUUUCAAAUCCAACACCACCAACGCAGUCAGCCCACACAAAUCUGUUCUCUGCUGUGUCUUCCCCCAAGAUCAGUUCACUCUUAAGUCUCAAGAGUAUGUAUGUAUAAGGACAGCUCAGGAAAUGGAGAGGGAGGAAAAUCAUCAUUCAUGGUGUUUAGCUUCUGACUAAAGACUAACUUAAUGAAGUUUGAGCACUUUGUCCAUAUUGGGAUUAAGAGCUAAUAAAUAACUCAUCACAAAUGUAAGAGAAAAAUAAAUAGGCCAUGUUCAUCUGAAUGGCAGAAAAUAUCUUUGGGGGUGGUGCCAAAAUGAAAUGGAAUUCACAACAGUGGCAACACAGAUGAGUUUAGAAGAUGUGCAUGACCUCGGAUGGAAGUGUUGCAGGGUAGGUAGUUUGUCAUCUAUGUCAGCCCUGGUAGAUCUAAGCAGCAUGGUUCUGUGGAGGAGCCUUGUGGCUGUGCUUUCUUGUGCUGGCAGCCACAGACAAGCUGCAGUUAUGACCUCAUGCCAUCCGGGUUAGAAAAAGUGUGACUAGCAUGAGUAGCUUUAUCUGAGGCCUACACCAGGCUUCAUUGUUGAUAAGUUGCAUAGGUAAUGAAGUUGUGGAUGAGAGAUGCAAUCAGCCACCCCGGAAACCAUCUUUCUGAAUGUGGUUGAUAUCUUGUGGCACUGCUUUGGAUAGCCCAUGUUGUGCAAACUUCUGGCUCUUUAAAGAUCCAGCGGACUAAUAGACUAAAAAAACCCACAUCAUAUGUCAUUCUGGGUACGUUCUUGCUGAGAAUGAAUACAAAGGCCUAUUCAUCACUCCCAGUGCUCUCAUAACGGACAGAUUAAAUCACUCUCUGGCUGUGAAGAUGACAGUGGCCCAAUAGCUAUGGCUGUGUAACAGUUUCCAUUAGAAGGCCUUGUUUCUGAUUGUUUAUGAUUUUGCCAGGCUUCAGCUCCUUGAGCUGAAAUUUCCCCUGCCAUAUGUCACCACAAACUGAAUUUCUGUGUGUGGAAGGGCCGAAAUGAAUAUUCAUGGAAUUUCCAGUGAAAAGUUACUCAGACACAAUUUUACAAAGAUUAAUUGUACAUUUGUCUUUUCUUGAGUGAUCAGGAGAAACAUCUGGAGCUACGUGCUCCCCAGUGGUCAGUACUCAACCUGAAGCUGGAAUAGCAGCUAAACAGCCUGGGUGCAAGAGGUUUCAUAUCCGGGUCUCUCAACUUGGUAGAUAUUCUCGACAGUUUUAACCUUUUCACAAAUGACCAACCUUCUGAGGCUGUACUUUGGUGUCCUAAUAUAUUUAGUCCAAUAUUGAAACCCGUGAUGUGUUGACAGAAGUUGCUUCUAGCGGACUGAGAUUACACUAAUAGGGAGUAGAAUUUGGGAGGGUGACAUCUACUGUUUUAUGAUUGAGCACAUCCAGGGUUUGAGUAUGUGGGGGUUUGGGUAUGACUGCUUAUAGCUCUCUUUAUCUUAUCCUUUACCUUCUCCACUCUUGUCCAUUGUUCUUGACCAACAUUCCUUGUCAAGUGGUAUCAGGAUAGAUUGUCAGAUCUCUGUGCUGAUCUGAAUACCAGUCUGAAGUUGCUAGCUCAUGAGAUGAGUGAGCUUCAUAGCAUUUAGGAAGAAUUUUAUCUGGUUCAAGGAAACUGUUUUUCUCCUGCACUUUCAACCAAUACUGGCGAUGCCAGCAGGAAGAGCUUUCAGGCUGGACUGAUUUGCCUCAGGAUUAGGUUUUUAUGUUAGGAAUUUUUUUGGUGACCAGCAUGGAUGCGAGUCAGCAGUGGCAUCGGAUUCAGUGGACAGAUAAUAAUUUUGAGGGUGAUGUGCUGUUUCUGGGAGCAGUAUCUGCAGAUGGAGCUCAACUGCACUCUGGAGGAAACGUGCUCUCUGAUCUGCAGCUGGCAUACGCCUGUCUCUUUCCCUAAACUGUUUUUAUUAGAUGGAGCUUUACAAGCCCCCAGGAAGGACCUUUAACUUCCACAGGAAUCUGAGAAAGCUUGUGUUAAACUCCUUAAAGGAGUUCUCCCUUAGCCAUUGCACAAGCUAGAAAAUUUCCAGAUCCCAGCAAAAACUGUGUGAGUGCUGUGUUCAGAUGGUGUAGAGCUUGCUCUUGCGUACCUAAAUCACCAUUAAACUAGCUACUCUGGGUCCAAUUAGUAACAUUGUCCCAGGAACAAAGUGUUCAGCGUGGCCUGCUAAAAGUAUAAGUUGCUUACCUUACUCAGUGUUUAUAUUCAGUUUUGCUGUUGUGCUAUGUUCUGUAAUGCUAUUGGUAUGGUGUUAGCAGUAUCUUAGCUGACUAAUUUAAAGGUAGUUGGGUACCCCAAUGACAUGUUGCAAUUUUAAUAAGGCCUGUGGUAGAGACACAUCUGCAGUCAGAACUUGUCAUCAUUCUGCACUGCCAACAUGGUGUAAUAAGUCUUUGUAGAAAUCCCGAAGCCAGACCAUAGGAAAUGAAUCUGGAUCCUAUAAACAUUUUAGUGGGAGGAAGCAAAAAUAUUUGCAUGACCUGCCAGGACUUUUAAUCUCAUAUAUAGGACGUCACAUGGGGGAAGUGGUCUUUUCCCUUGUUGAUAAUAAAAGCACUUUAUAUUUUUGCUGCAAUGAAAAGAUCAUGCAUUAUAUAGAUCGCAGUGAACAGUAUUCAGUAAACUGCAGAUUUCCUUAAGUUUCCAUUAUAAACUUGAUUUUAUUCCUAUUCCUGUCUCUGCCAAAAUUAGCCCUAUACACCUACAACUUCACAUGCAUAAUCUUAUUCUGGGACAGAUUUUUUGGAAGAGUUGAAGGAAACUGGUCAAGGUGUUUAAGAGAUAUGACAGCUAAAAAAUGAGAUCAUCUGCUUGGAGAUUUUCCUAAAGACUUUUUGACUUGUCAUAUACUGAAAAUUCAUUUGCCUGGAGUUUCAAAAAAAUAUUUUAAAUCUGUUGGUCUUGGCCAGAAAUGGUGUCUUUGAGUAGUUUUAGGCUGUCUGGUGACAGAAUUAUUUGGUUACUGAAAGUGGUUUCCGCCUUGGUGUAUGUAUACGUGUUAUGUGUUCUUUGGAGAUCUUAACUUCACUAGUCAGUGCCAACAUGUUCUUAAAUUUACAAUGGCAAAUGUGAGGUUUCUAACCAACUCCGCAUGCAUCCUAAACGUACACAUUCCUUCUCCUAGACCAGUCUUAAGUGUGUGCCCUGCUGCCUAAAAUACUCACCAGUGCAUUUCCUGACUCCCACUCCAAUCCAUGCUGAGGCUGACAGCGUGGUUUUACAGUCACUUCUGCAAAGUCCCUGAAGGCAUCUCCCAAAGGGACUGGCAUUCAAAUCUUAUUUCUACCCAUCUCAGUUCUCUUUCCUGGAACAAAACAUCAUACCUGCCAUGAUUUGUGCCAAUAUGUCAGUCUCCAAUGGCUGCGAGCCAUGGAUGAUGACACUUAAGUCAAUAUUUUUGUGUUUGUGGCUUAUUUCUGUUUUACGACAAAAUAAAUUCUGGAGCAUAUUAUGUGUUUCUUAAAGAGGAUUUGUUUCAAAAUACAUGCUUUUGCUUUCUCAAAAUUGGGUAAUUUUUAAAUAUGGUUCUUGAAGUGUGCCCAAAAGCAGAAGUAAACUGAACCAUUAGAUGAUUUUGAAAGCUUCCCCUUAGAUAAGAAGCAUGUGAUAUCUAGAAACAGUAUAGUUGUGCUACACCACUGCAUUAAUGUGGUUCUGUGGGAUCACUGCUGCAUCAUGCACUUAGCUUACACUAAAGGUCAUGGCUUAGCAAUGUCAACAGUAAAGUUUGCCCAGUACAUACCACUGAUUAUGGGACAUUGCCCAUGUUCCAUAAGACCUUGUUUGCAGUUAGUAGUGUUGCUUGACUUUAACAUUUAAGCCUUGAUCUUUCUGACUUUAGUGGUUUUUUUGUUGUCGUUGAACCAUAGUUGUUGUGGAACCUGUGAAUGUAUUUGUGAGAAGUAUGACCAUAUGCUUUCUCUAUUCUUUAUUAUUCCAUCAGCAUCUGUUCUUGGCCACCACUGAGACAAGCUGUUGGGCUAAGUGAACCUUUGCUUUAACUCAGUGUGAAUGUUCCUGCCUAUAUUCUCAGUCUCAGCAAAAAUAGUUGACUGUUUGCUAAAAACAGGGCUAGGAGAUCACUUUGUUAUUAAAAAAACACCUCUCAGUAGCCUUUUUAUUUAUUUAUUUAUUUAUUCUUGUCUUUUCUAAGAAAGAGCUUUAGUGUCUUUGUGCUUGGGAGCUAGGGCUGGAAACCUAAGUGAAACAUUAUCUUAGAGUCAUGGCUAUGUUUCCAUCCCCACCUCUUUCUGAUUCAAAGUGUCCACUUUUGGCUCUUGACAAUCACACCUUGAAUGUGUUCUCUAGAAACUUGGCAGGCUUUGCACUUGGACUUUGUGGCAGUGGACACACUCUGCCAAGACUGAGCAGGAGAUUUCUGGUUGCAGACUGCUCUGUCAUACAGCACAGGAACUGAAUGCAGCAAGAUGGUCCUCCCAGCUGUUCUCUGCAACUGAACAACUAACUUCACUGUUGCUAGUUGAGGACUAUUAAUCUUUCCUUUUAAACAUUAUUUCUUCAGGGAAAAAAAAUCUUGCAAUUUUUUCUAAUGUUUUCUGGACUUGUGUCCGUUUCUGUUGAUCUCCUCUGGUCUCUUACCAUCUAGUUCAUGUCUUUCUUGAAAUGCAGUGCACAAAACAGAACGCUGUCUUCCAGUUAAGUCUUCAUCAGUGAAGAUAAGACCUCAAGAACUCUAUUCAUUAUCUUUAAGACCCUUUUAGACAUCCCAAUGUCAUAUCUGUGCUUUAUGCAAAAGCACAGCUCUGCCACUCGUGUUCAGCUUGUGUUCCACUAUAGUCCCUAGAUUUUUAUCUUAUGAAUUAGACAGAUGAGUAUUUCUGCAUAAGUGUGGCAUUUUACACUAUCACCUUCCAUCCGUUUAGAUGACUUCUCUAAAUAUAUCAAGAUCAUUUUAAAUUCUGAUUCUGCCUUUCAUAAUAUCUCCUCUUGUAUGCCUAAUAGCCAUACUUCUAUUACACUUCUUCGUACUUUCAUCUUCUAUGCCUUCAAUAAAAACACCAAAUAAAACUGGAUACGGGACCAAUCUCCACUGACUUCCUUGUAGAACACAUCUAUUUUGAUAUGUUACAUUUUAAUUUUACUGUGAAUUCUAUCAUCCAACCAGACUUGACCUCCUGCCCCUUUCCACAGCAGUUUCAUUUAGAUCACAACUCACUAGCCUGUUUAUGAGGAAGUAUUCCAAAGGCUUUGCAAAAAAACCCUAAAUUAAAUAAAUAAUUUUGAGUUAUAUGACACUUAUGGCCAUUACUUCACCCUCUUUAAGACUCCUAGAGUGAAGCUGAUUGGGCCCAGGCAAUUUAAAAACGUAUAAUUUAAUGGGUUACUUUCUAGGCAGAUUUCUCAUUUUUUAGGCUGAAGUUUUAACACUUUUUUCCCUUGUACUCAUUGCACUGUUUUCUUGCCUUUUUAGUAGAAAGGGCAAAAAAAAUCCAUCAAACUCUCACGCCCUUAACAUCCUCUGCUGACAGCUUCCCCCAUCUUUCUUUUGUUUUUCUCUUCAGCAUCACUUGUAAAAUUUCUACAACUUCUUAUAUGUUUUGCCAGUUGCACCUUGCACACUCCUUCUUUACUGAAUGUAUCUGUGAUACAAUCUGGGAGAAGAAUUCACAGAGAGCAGCCCUGUGGAAAAGGACUUGGAGAACCU